UACGUAGGGGGCAAGCGUUGUCCGGAAUCAUUGGGCGUAAAGAGCGUGUAGGCGGCUCGAUAAGUCUGCUGUGAAAGUCCAGGGCUCAACCCUGGAAGGCCAGUGGAAACUGUCGGGCUAGAGUCCGGAAGAGGCGAGUGGAAUUCCCGGUGUAGCGGUGAAAUGCGCAGAUAUCGGGAGGAACACCAAUGGCGAAGGCAGCUCGCUGGGACGGUACUGACGCUGAGACGCGAAAGCGUGGGGAGCAAACAGGG
rnacentral:rRNA from 1 species